GAUGAACGCUGGCGGCGUGCCUAAUACAUGCAAGUCGAGCGAACGGACGUGAAGCUUGCUUCUCUGAUGUUAGGGGCGGACGGGGGAGGAAUACGUGGAUAACCUGUCUAUAGGACUGGGAUAACGUCGGGAAACCGGAGCUAGGGCCGGAUAAUAGUUUGAACCGCAUGGUUGAAAAGGGAAAGACGGGCUUGCUUUCACUGAUAGAGGGAUCCGCGCGGCAUUAGUGAGUUGGUAAGGUAACGGCAAACCAAGGCUACGAUGCAUAGACGAGCUGAGAGGGUGAUCUCCCACACUGGCACUGAGACACGGUCCAGACUCCUACGGGAGGGAGCGGUAGGAAAUCUUCCGCAAUGGGCGAAAGCCUGACGGAGCCACGCCGCGUGAGUGAUGAAGGUCUUCGGAUCGUAAAACUCUGUUAUUAGGGAAGAACAUAUGUGUAAGUAGCUGUGCACAUCUUGACGGUACCUAAUCAGAAAGCCACGGCUAACUACGUG
rnacentral:rRNA from 1 species